GUUGUGACUGGUUUUACGCGGCUGGGCCGCCCCCGGAACUAGCCUUGCGGUGGAGGGUUCGGGAGUUCCCGGAGGCACCGUCCCGGGUCCUGGCGUGGCGGGCAAGGCAGCCUGACCUCCGUCUGCUGGGCUCCCUGCGCUCGUGGCCGCGGUUUUGAAACAUGAAUCCAGGAGGAGCUUCAUCUGCUCCAAAACAUGAUGCAAGUUUAGAUGCAGAAUGGCAACAGUGGAAGGCAACACACGGAAAAGUAUAUGGUCCGAAUGAAGAAGGAUGGAGGAGAACACUGUGGGAGAAGAAUAAGAAAAUGAUUGACCUGCACAAUGAGGAAUACAACCUAGGGAAAAAGAGCUACAGCUUGGGAUUGAAUGCUUUUAGUGACAUGACCGAGGAAGAAUUAGCACGGACGUGCUGCGGUAAAAGGUAGAAGUGCAAGAAAAGGAGAGUGUUCCGGAAACCUUACGUUGCCGAAAUCCCCCCAAGAGUGGAUUGAUGAAAAGAAGGCUAUGUGGACAUGGAUAACGGGAUGAGAGCAUGAGGGGGCGGGGGGGUUUGCGGGGGGAGGAGAAG